GACGAACGCUGGCGGCGUGCCUAACACAUGCAAGUCGAGCGAAUGAAGUUCCUUCGGGAAUGGAUUUAGCGGCGGACGGGUGAGUAACACGUGGGCAACCUGCCUCAUAGAGGGGAAUAGCCUUCCGAAAGGGAGAUUAAUACCGCAUAAGAUUGUAGUAUCGCAUGAUACAGCAAUUAAAGGAGCAAUCCGCUAUGAGAUGGGCCCGCGGCGCAUUAGCUAGUUGGUGAGGUAACGGCUCACCAAGGCGACGAUGCGUAGCCGACCUGAGAGGGUGAUCGGCCACAUUGGGACUGAGACACGGCCCAGACUCCUACGGGAGGCAGCAGUGGGGAAUAUUGCACAAUGGGGGAAACCCUGAUGCAGCAACGCCGCGUGAGUGAUGACGGCCUUCGGGUUGUAAAGCUCUGUCUUCAGGGACGUUAAUGACGGUACCUGAGGAGGAAGCCACGGCUAACUACGUG
rnacentral:rRNA from 1 species